CGAUGAAAUUAAAGAGAUGUUUGAUUUUUCAAAGUGGGACUCAAAAAACAAAGUUGUAGCGCAGACAAAAAUUAUUCCAGAAAAUAAAUGUAAUGAAUUAACAAUAGAGAAGGCGUCAAAAAACGUUGCAGAAUCCAAGUAAUUAUUGCCAGAGCAAAGAAAAGUUUUAGCAUAUUUUGGCUAUUCCAACCCAAUUGUAACUCAUAUUUUAACAGACAAAGACCUGCAGACUGAUUGAAAACUUCUUCAUGCUGAAGUUAUCAAACAUGACAUCAAUGUCGUAAAAGACUUAGUUAAUCCAGACACAUUUUUAAAACUUCAGAAAAAUGUGCUACAUCUUAAACAAAGUUGGAGUUGUUUGAGUUGUAACAAACCACAAUUUGAAGACAUGAUUGAGUGUGAAGAUUGUUUGACUUGGUACCACUGGUAAGUUUGAAUGCAUAAACCAGAAAAGUAAAAUGGCAGCAUAUAUUGUUGUACAAGAAUUAGCCAAUUAUUCUAAUUUAUGCUUUUAUAACAGUUACUUUCUUGGAUUUAUGCAAAAUAUUUUCAUAACAUGAUAAAAAUGUAAAUUAUACAAACAAAGAAAUGUAUUUGUCUCUUU